GCCCAAGAAAAGUGCUGGUCCAACUGCCUCCUCCUCAGAGGCUUCCUGCAUUCUCCUGCAGCGCUCCUGUGCCCGAAAUAAAGGCUUCUUUUGCCUCUGUCCUCUCAUCUGCACCAAAAGAAAGAAACUUUACGAUAUGGCGCCACAAUCCAAAGCGUUCCAGGUCCUUCUUGACUGGAAAAGAUUGGACGAAACAAGCCAAGAACAGUGUCGUAAGUUUAUUUGAAGACCUGCAUAUGGAAAGGUGAUCAGUUAUGAAGAAGAAAAGCUUUGGCGGAAUCUUGGAAUGCAGCUUUUUUGGAAUCUUCCGCUAAAGAAAAUCAGACUGCGGUCAAUAUUUCCAGAAGGAUAAUUUUGGAGGCAGAAGGGGCAGCUUCACAAGGCAAGUCUUCCAGCUCCGUGAUGUGAGCGCAGCGGAGGACACUGGGACAUGUUCUCCCUGGGGAGGCUCACCGCCGUCCUCCAAAAGCAGCUCCGCUUCUUCUGUUAACCUGAGAGGCGGCGUUCGGGUCAGAGCCCCUCCUCUUUCAGAUGACGUUCAGCUCUGACUGUCCAAAUGAGUUCACUUCCAUUUUCAAAUUUUAAGCAAUUAUAUUUUCAAUUUAUAUAUUAUAUUUCUUAAUAAUAUUAUGACCAAGAAUUUUACAGGCAUUAAUUUUUCAGUGUCGUUUGUGGUUUAAAAUAAUGUAAUCAUGAAAAUGAUACAUAUUGUUACACUACUAUUAACUAGGCUUCAAUAUAUCAGUGUUUAUUUCAUUGUGUUAAAUGUAUACUUGUAAAUAAAAUAGCUGCAAACCUUGAUCCCUCCUGCUGCUUGCGGUGACUGAGAGGAGGAAGGCCUCUUGCUCUGGAGCCUUCCCUUGGGCCUCAGGGAAGCCGAGGCACCCAGGCGCUCACCCUGUGCAUUGUGGAUGACUCAGCUGAGUGGCCUUGAUCUUGGAGAGCAGCGACUUCUGGCCUUUCGGCAGUGACCAGGACACCGGUGUUGGGAGAGCCCCGGGGCCUUACGUGGUGGAGCACUCCUGUUCCCCUGUGUGUGUUAUGCCAGUUGAAGCAAAGGAGCUGCUACGAGACGUGUUUUGUCCCUCUUCCCACUUAGCUUGAUGUCCACAUCAGGAUAGGGUUUACGAAGUGAUCUGCCUACUGGUCUUACUGGCACAUACCUGUAAUCCCAGCACUUGGGAGGCUGAGGCAGGAGGAUUGCCAUGAGUUCCAGGCCAGCCUGGGCUACAUAACAAGACUGCCUCAAAAAAAAAAAAGUACUGUAGAUUUGCUUGUCUGCCUGUCCUCAUUCGAGAAUGAGUCCUGUAGUUCAGAGGUUCUGAGGGUGAGGAGCGCUCCCAGCAGGUGCUCUGUCAGGGGUCAGCCUUGCCUGCCUUGACUGUGCUUUCUUGUGAGGAGCCGCCUAGCAGGGAACAGGGCACCGGGGAUGUGGGGCACUUGUGUACAGCCCUCACCCUCUCUGUACCCCAGACUUGGGGUUUCCUUUAAGCCGUGUAUUUCGUGUGUACCCCUAGUUAAAAUUUCACAGGCUGGUUGCUUCUGAUAUUAAGCAAAUGCUGCCAUUGUCUUAAAAUAUAAUUCUGUUUUGCAAGUA